GCCUUGAUAGCUUAAAUGGUUAAAGCGUAGAACUGAAGCUUCUAAGAUCUGGGUUCAAUUCCUUGUCGAGGCA
rnacentral:tRNA from 1 species